rnacentral:rRNA from 1 species
UACGAACCGUACGAACGUUAUUCGGAAUCACUGGGCUUAAAGAGUCCGUAGGCGGCUUGGAAGGUGAGGUGUGAAAUCCCACGGCCUAACCGUGGAACUGCGCUUCAAACCACCAAGCUAGAGGGAGAUAGAGGAAAGCGGAACUGAUGGUGGAGCGGUGAAAUGCGUUGAUAUCAUCAGGAACACCGGUGGCGAAAGCGGCUUUCUGGGUCUUUUCUGACGCUGAGGGACGAAAGCUAGGGGAGCGAACGGG